AGCAGCCGCGGUAAUUCCAGCUCCAAUAGCGUAUAUUAAAGUUGUUGCAGUUAAAAAGCUCGUAGUUGAAUUUCGGGGUCAGUAGGUUGGUCAUGCCUUCGGUAUGUACUGGUCUCACUGAUUCCUCCCUCUUGAAGAACUGUAAUGUCAUUAAUUUGGUGUUGCGGGGAAACAGGACUGUUACUUUGAAAAAAUUAGAGUGUUUAAAGCAAGCUCACGCUUGAAUACAUUAGCAUGGAAUAAUGAAAUAGGACGUUCGAUCCUAUUUUGUUGGUUUCUAGGAUUGACGUAAUGAUUAAUAGGGAUAGUUGGGGGCAUUAGUAUUCAAUUGUCAGAGGUGAAAUUCUUGGAUUUAUUGAAGACUAACUACUGCGAAAGCAUUUGCCAAGGAUGUUUUCAUUAAUCAAGAACGAAAGUUAGGGGAUCGAAGACGAUCAGAUACCGUCGUAGUCUUAACCAUAAACUAUGCCGACUAGGGAUCGGAUGAUGUUAAUUUUUAAUUAGACUCAUUCGGCGCCUU
rnacentral:rRNA from 1 species